GGCAGUUCUUGGGUGACACACCCCGGAAUCGGGCUCCCUCCUCUCUGGUUCCGGGAUCCACCACCAGAGAACUGCU
rfam:Myotis davidii contig9950, whole genome shotgun sequence.